GAGUGAAGAAGUAUUUCGGUAUGUAAAGCUCUAUCAGCAGGGAAGAAAAUGACGGUACCUGACUAAGAAGCCCCGGCUAACUACGUGCCAGCAGCCGCGGUAAUACGUAGGGGGCAAGCGUUAUCCGGAUUUACUGGGUGUAAAGGGAGCGUAGACGGCAGCGCAAGUCUGAAGUGAAAGCCCGGGGCUCAACCCCGGAAUGGCUUUGGAAACUGUGCAGCUAGAGUACCGGAGGGGUAAGCGGAAUUCCUAGUGUAGCGGUGAAAUGCGUAGAUAUUAGGAGGAACACCAGUGGCGAAGGCGGCUUACUGGACGGUAACUGACGUUGAGGCUCGAAAGCGUGGGGAGCAAACAGGAUUAGAUACCCUGGUAGUCCACGCGGUAAACGAUGAAUGCUAGGUGUUGGUGAGCAAAGCUCAUCGGUGCCGCCGCAAAC
rnacentral:rRNA from 1 species